rnacentral:lncRNA from 1 species
GUUGUUCGGUGCAUUAAGUUAUCACUAUGCGCGAGGUCCGCAAAAGUUGAGGAAACAGGUGGAGAACCUAAAUGAACAACUGAUGAAUGAAUAUAGCUGUUGUUGCUCAUGUGGCUGGUCUCCUCAACUCUCUUGAUCCCUUGUCCUUCCCCACCUGUUUCGGUGCCCCCUAAUUUGUCCCCUUGUCAAUGUCUAUUUGUCAGUCGUUGUCAAAUUCUAUAAUGUCCUGUUGUCAAUCCCCUAUGGUUUUAGUAUUCUCGUAGUGUUUAUUUUGUCAAUUUUUUGUGAUGAUGGUGUACUAUUUUUUUCUUCUUAAAUUAAUGAGCAUUUAGUCUUUUUUAAAUGCAUGUUGUAC